AGAGUUUGAUCAUGGCUCAGAACGAACGCUGGCGGCAUGCCUAACACAUGCAAGUCGAACGAGACCUUCGGGUCUAGUGGCGCACGGGUGCGUAACGCGUGGGGAUCUGCCCUUUGCUUCGGAAUAACAGUUAGAAAUGACUGCUAAUACCGGAUGAUGACUUCGGUCCAAAGAUUUAUCGGCAAAGGAUGAACCCGCGUAGGAUUAGCUAGUUGGUGGGUAAAGGCCUACCAAGGCGACGAUCCUUAGCUGGUCUGAGAGGAUGAUCAGCCACACUGGGACUGAGACACGGCCCAGACUCCUACGGGAGGCAGCAGUGGGAAUAUUGGACAAUGGGCGAAAGCCUGAUCCAGCAAUGCCGCGUGAGUGAUGAAGGCCUUAGGGUUGUAAAGCUCUUUUACCCGGGAUGAUAAUGACAGUACCGGGAGAAUAAGCUCCGGCUAACUCCGUG
rnacentral:rRNA from 1 species